AUAAAGAAGGAGUCAGCAUCGGGAGAAUACUCAGGAGGGCGUGAAAACAUGUCUACUUGAAUGGCUUCUAGCAGCAGUGAUGCAGUGGCCACUCCGGCUUCUGUAGUAGCUUGGAGGUCAACCUCCUCGAUGACCGGGAGAAUCGGCGCAGCCAAAGAUUCCGCUGAUGCCGCCACGGAUGGAUCGUCUGAUUCCGUGCGGGCGCACACUCGGCGGCUUGUCUUCUUUACGGCCUUCUUCGGUGUCUGCUCAAUCG
rnacentral:lncRNA from 1 species